ACCUGUGCCAGGGCCUCCCCACCCUCACAGGGGAGAAUUUUUUCCUGGGUGCUGAAGGAACUUGGAAUGAAUGUGACAGAUGUGGAGAAGUGUGGAAACAAUUAAGAAGUGGCAUAAAGGUGCAGAAAAAGCAUGGAAAACAUGAGAAAGAAAAAUAACACUAAAGAAGAAAAGAAAGCACAGGCACCACCAACCAGCAAAGAUAAAAUCUACAAAUAACAGGAAAAAAAUCACAAUUAUUAAGGACUCCAACGCCCAGCUCGUGCCACAAUGCUCAGCAAAUUGUGCAAUUCGCCAUCUCUGACACGGGGUGGCACAACAUAGCUGGGAAUCCAUCGAGUGCGAAAUGGAACCGAGAGCACACGCAAACAAGAGGUCAGAGCCAACUACGAGGGAAUGUUGAAUAAUUCUAUUUCUAAACAUCAGACAAUUGCAAAUAUAAGCAUUUUCUGACACGAAAGCUUUACCAAAGAGAACAGGCUUGAAGGAA